rnacentral:rRNA from 1 species
AAAAGUAAUGCAAGGGCGUAUGAAGGAUGCCUUGGCUCUCAGAGGCGAUGAAGGACGUGGAAAACUGCGAUAAGCUACGGGGAUUGGUUAACACAAUUUGAUCCGUAGAUGUCCGAAUGGGAAAACCCACCUUAGCAAACCUAAGGUAUCCCUAGAUUUAUUUUAGGGAAGCGAACCCAGUGAACUGAAACAUCUAAGUAACUGGAGGAAGAGAAAACAAUUAGUGAUUUCGUAAGUAGCGGCGAGCGAACGCGAAAAAGCCCAAACCAAAGCUGUUUCGGCAGCUUUGGGGUUGUAGGACCCACAUAACGUGUGUGUGAUAGAACUCAAAUUACCUGGAAAGGUAAGCCAUAGAGGGUGAAAGCCCCGUCGAGGUAACAGAACACAUACAGUGGGUAUCCUGAGUAGGUCGGUACCGGAGAAAUACUGACUGAAUCCACCAGCACCAUCUGGUAAGGCUAAAUACUACUGAGAGACCGAUAGCGAACGAGUACCGUGAGGGAAAGGUGAAAAGAACCCUGAACAAGGGAGUGAAAUAGACCUGAAAUCGUACGCCUACAAGCGGUCGGAGCCCGUAAGGGUGACGGCGUGCCUUUUGCAUAAUGAGCCUACGAGUUAGUCUUUUCUGGCAAGGUUAAUCCUCUUGAGAGGAGGAGCCGCAGCGAAAGCGAGUCUGAAUAGGGCGCCAUAGUCAGAGGAGCUAGACGCGAAACUUGGUGAUCUACCCAUGACCAGGUUGAAGCGCUGGUAAUACAGCGUGGAGGACCGAACCAGUGUCAGUUGAAAUUGGCUUGGAUGAGUUGUGGGUAGGGGUGAAAAGCCAAUCGAACCAAGAGAUAGCUCGUACACUCCGAAAUGCUUUUAGGAGCAGCCUCAACAUAGAUUGCUAGAGGUAGAGCUACCGAUAGGAUAGGGGGGAGUCAAAUCCUACCACAUCCAGACGAACUCCGAAUGCUAGUAAUUGUUUGUUGGGAGUGAGGACUAGGGUGCUAAGGUCCUAGUCCAAGAGGGAAAGAACCCAGACCACCCGCUAAGGUCCCUAAAUAUAGAUUAAGUUGAACUAAGGAUGUUCAGCUACUUAGACAGCCAGGAUGUAGGCUUGGAAGCAGCCAUCAUUUAAAGAAAGCGUAACAGCUCACUGGUCAAAGUAGCAGGGCGCCAAUAAUAAUCGGGCAUUAAAUCUAUUACCGAAGCGAUGGCUUAGUUGCAUUAGCAACUAGGGGUAGGAGUGCAUUCUAAUAGAGUUGAAGCCGUGCGGUAACGCAUCGUGGAUUUAUUAGAAAAGAAAAUGUAGGCAUGAGUAACGAUAAUGGUGGUAAAAAUCCACCACACCGAAAGACUAAGGUUUCCACGGCCAUGCUUGUCAUCCGUGGGUUAGUCGGCCCCUAAGUCGUACCCGAAAGGCGAAGACGAUGGGAAAUCGGUUAAUAUUCCGAUACUACCUUAUUAUAGAGAAGGGGGGACGAAGAAGUGAAAGAUCUGCCUUCUGAUGGCAUAGAAGGUUGAAGCCAGUAGGUAUAGGACCAGGUAGUAAAUCUCCUGGACCUGCCGAAGGUGAUAGUACUGCAAUCCUUAGGGAGCGUAGAUAAUGAUUCUAAACAUGCUUCCAAGAAAAGCCUCUAAUCGUUGUAAUAAUAAGGUAACCGUACCGCAAACCGACACAGGUAGUUGGGGAGAGUAUCCUAAGGUGGACGAGUGAAUCGUGGCUAAGGAACUAGGCAAAUUGGCCCUGUAACUUCGGGAGAAAGGGUGCCUACUCCUUUGCCCUCGGGUAAAGAAGAGGUCGCAGUGAAAAGGUCCAAACGACUGUUUACCAAAAACACAUGGCUUUGCAAAAUCGAAAGAUUACGUAUAAGGCCUGACACCUGCCCAGUGCUGGAAGGUUAAGAGGAAGGGUUAAUCGUAAGAUGAAGCUCCCAAUCGAAGCCCCAGUAAACGGCGGCCGUAACUCUGACGGUCCUAAGGUAGCAAGAUUCUUUGUCGGGUAAGUUCCGACCUGAUCGAAUGGUGUAACGAUUUGGACGCUGUCUCAGCCACGAGCUCGGUGAAAUUGUAGUAGCGGUGAAGAUGCCGCUUUCCCGCAAUGGGACGAAAAGACCCCGUGCAGCUUUACUAUAGCUUCACAUUGGUAAUUAGCAAAUGAUGUGUAGGAUAGGUGGGAGACUUUGAAGUAGUGUCGCUAGGCAUUAUGGAGUCAACCUUGAAAUACCACCCUUUAUUUGUUGGUUAUCUAACCCUCUAUGAGGGGACAGUGUGUGGUGGGUAGUUUGACUGGGGCGGUCGCCUCCUAAAAAGUAACGGAGGCUUUCAAAGGUACCCUCAACACGGUUGGUAAUCGUGUGUAGAGCGCAAUAGCAUAAGGGUGCUUGACUGUGAGACCUACAAGUCGAGCAGGGUCGAAAGACGGAUAUAGUGAUCCGGUGGUACCGCAUGGAAGGGCCAUCGCUCAAAGGAUAAAAGUUACGCCGGGGAUAACAGGCUGAUCUCCCCCAAGAGAUCAUAUCGACGGGGAGGUUUGGCACCUCGAUGUCGGCUCGUCACAUCCUGGGGCUGAAGAAGGUCCCAAGGGUUGGGCUGUUCGCCCAUUAAAGUGGCACGCGAGCUGGGUUCAGAACGUCGUGAGACAGUUCG